CGUAGGGUGCAGGCGUUAAUCGGAAUUACUGGGCGUAAAGCGUGCGCAGGCGGUUUCUUAAGUCAGAUGUGAAAGCCCCGGGCUUAACCUGGGAACUGCGUUUGAAACUGGGAGACUUGAGUGUGGCAGAGGGGGUGGAAUUCCACGUGUAGCAGUGAAAUGCGUAGAUAUGUGGAGGAACACCGAUGGCGAAGGCAGCCCCCUGGGUUAACACUGACGCUCAUGCACGAAAGCGUGGGGAGCAAACAGGAUUAGAUACCCUGGUAGUCCACGCCCUAAACUAUGUCAACUGGUUGUCGGGGGAUUAACUCCCUUGGUAACGAAGCUAACGCGUGAAGUUGACCGCCUGGGGAGUACGGUCGCAAGAUUA
rnacentral:rRNA from 1 species